rnacentral:rRNA from 1 species
UACAGAGGGUGCGAGCGUUGUUCGGAAUUAUUGGGCGUAAAGGGCGCGUAGGCGGUGCGGUAAGUCACCUGUGAAAUCUCCUGGCUCAACUGGGAGCUUGCAGGCGAAACUGCCGUGCUGGAGUGUGGGAGAGGUGCGUGGAAUUCCUGGUGUAGCGGUGAAAUGCGUAGAUAUCGGAAGGAACACCUGUGGCGAAAGCGGCUCACUGGACCAUUACUGACGCUGAGGCACGAAAGCUAGGGGAGCAAACAGG